CUUGUCCUGUCCCUCUUCGCAGCAAAAUAACACAACCGUCAACAAGCUUCAUCACACAGAACAGCCAACAAGCUCACUGUACAAAAACACUUGGAUGCUAACUGGAUUUUUUAGUUUCUACACAACAUUUUUAAGUUCAGACUGUUGGAACCAAAGCCAAAGCAUUUUCUCAACAGUGAGGAAUUGUUUAGAAACCAGAGGGAGGUGGUAAGUGUGAGAGAACUGGACUAGGCAGACGAAAGGGUAAAGGGGGAGAGGACCAGGUCUGUAUGGGGCUUCCAGGAGUUCUCUAAGGUCCUGGAGGCAUGGAUGCCACAUCGGAAUAAAGAACAGGACAGGAAGUUUCUGCUUUCGCACUGGUACAAUGUGUGCAGGCGUGGCACCCCCUGGAGGUGGGGAUCAGUGAUAUUAAACAUGCUCCCCCAUGGCCAUCAUCACAGGUGCCGGGCCAUCGUGAAGGAGCCAGAGAAUGAUCGCGAGGAGAGAAUUCUGGCAAUACUAGGGAUUAUUGGCACUGUGCUCAACCUACUGAGGGUGAGGGGAGACAAAGUGACCCAAACGCAGAGGGAAACUUUUUUUACCACAACAUAUGUAAACAAGGACAGGCUCACCUGACACCAGCUGCAGUAAUGAGCUGAGUCAAAAGCUAUAGCCACUCAGCGGGCUUAGGAAUGAUGUGUGUUAGUAUGAUGAGUGUGUGCUUUGAUAUUGAAGUCAGGAUCAAUCCGAAGAGAGCCUGUUGAAGCUGGUGCGAAGCAAAGCCCAGGUGAAUUUCUCCCUCGACACGUGGGCAGAGACCUAGGAAUCCUCCUCCAAGGGAUCUGGGCGACAAUACAGGUGAAGUCAAUGGCGAAGAAGAAGAUAACCACGCCUCUAGAGACAACCAACAGACAAAGAGAAAUCUCCAACUAAACAAGAGAGCAUGGUUAACACUUGACAGCAAACAAUAAACUGAGAAAGAAAGAGGGAAAACACAAGGAAUAAGUAGGGAGUGCAAUCAGUGUGAAGCAGGUGGAACGGGCGAGUAAAUCAUUGCCAUGAUCAGCUCUUCCCGGGGAACAAUCAGCGUUCGCAUGGAAACACUGAUCACGCAUGUCUGUUCCCCCUAUGUUUCCCCAGUUAGUGUUUCCCGUAGCACUGUUAAACAUUAAACAUAGGAUGAACAGACUUUGACAGCGCCAUUAAAAUAAUGUUUAAAGGCACUAAGGGGAACACUAACCGGGGAAACAUAAGGGGAACAGACUUUGACACAUGGGAGAGAGAAAAACAAAUAACAGUAUGAGCCAGCACAAAUGCCGGAAUCAUGAUGUUUUAUUGUUUUAAAAGUGAUGUGUGUAAUACUUUUUCCUAUUCUGUCUUUAUUUUUAAUUUUUUCAUUGUAAUAUGAAUAAAAUCUUAUGAUGGCAAUAUAAUCAUACUUAGAAAGGAAAUCCCUUUGGAAUGGAAGCAGUUGGCAAAAGUGAUCAGCAUAAGUACCCCGAUAUUUAUUGUUCUCUGGCACCAAAGAAAAAUAAAUACUGAAUCACCUGAAAGGCUAAAUAAGAGAUUUCCCUUUCUUUAAUUAGUUUAUUCGGCUCUGUUGAUAAUGAAGAUAGAUGACAGGAAAGGAAGUGGUGGAGGAGAGCAUGUGAGCAGGCACCUUUGGGAGCUGGAAUGCCUGCAGCAAACAUAAAACCAUCUGCUCUCCUCAUGGACAGUGGCAUUUCACAACAUACAAUGUUUACACUAUGUGAUUGUAGGAGAUACAGUUUUCAGAUGCAUGCUAUUCUAUUAUGUUGAAUAUAACAUUUUAAUAUUAUAUUAUAUUAUAUUAUAUUAUCCCCUUACUGAGACCUGAAUGUGACUGCUGUGUGCGGUUUCCAUUCCUCUUUUUUAUUUGUAACAAGUAGUCCCUCAGA